rnacentral:lncRNA from 1 species
UUUUUGUUUGAAUAGAAUGUUGUCUUUUGCAUCACACCUUCGAUUUAUCCCAUGUAGCCCUUUAUUUCAGUCAAGAAUUUCAGCAAAUAGCCCCACUGUUUAUGGAUAAAAAGGACAGGCCAAUUCUUUAUUAUAUAUCUUAUAAUUGCAUGUUUCUUGUGUAUCUUGUUGGGUUAUAGAAUUUGUUGUGCUGAGAUUGCUUUUUUACUUGAUUGGUUCAUCAAACUAAAAACCUGGAUAGAACCUUCUCAAUAUGCUAUAUAAAUUAAGCCUACUUUUCAGUGUUGGCUUGUAUUUUUAUCCUCAGUUGGAUCUACCUAUCUGCCUGAUUACCACCCUAUUACAAGUAACUUCACUUAGAUUGCAGUCUUAGAGACUAUAAAGAAUUCUGUGUAGAUGUGUGCCAACUACUGUUCUUCUGAACUGGGGAAUUUGUAAUCCUACCAUAGGUUGUAAGUUUUGGGUCUGUAAAACUAAU